UACGUAGGGUGCGAGCGUUGUCCGGAAUUAUUGGGCGUAAAGGGCUCGUAGGCGGUUUGUCGCGUCGGGAGUGAAAACCUCGGGCUUAACUCGGGGCUUGCUUUCGAUACGGGCAGACUGGAGGUAUGCAGGGGAGAACGGAAUUCCUGGUGUAGCGGUGAAAUGCGCAGAUAUCAGGAGGAACACCGGUGGCGAAGGCGGGAUCCUGGGCCAGUACUGACGCUGAGGAGCGAAAGCGUGGGGAGCAAACAGG
rnacentral:rRNA from 1 species